rnacentral:rRNA from 1 species
GAUGAACGCUAGCUACAGGCUUAACACAUGCAAGUCGAGGGGAAACGAUAUUGGAAGCUUGCUUCCGAUAGGCGUCGACCGGCGCACGGGUGAGUAACGCGUAUCCAACCUGCCCACCACUUGGGGAUAACCUUGCGAAAGUAAGACUAAUACCCAAUGAUACCUCUAGAAGACAUCUGAAGGAGAUUAAAGAUUUAUCGGUGAUGGAUGGGGAUGCGUCUGAUUAGCUUGUUGGCGGGGUAACGGCCCACCAAGGCGACGAUCAGUAGGGGUUCUGAGAGGAAGGUCCCCCACAUUGGAACUGGGACACGGUCCAAACUCCUACGGGAGGCAGCAGUGAGGAAUAUUGGUCAAUGGGCGAGAGCCUGAACCAGCCAAGUAGCGUGCAGGAUGACGGCCCUAUGGGUUGUAAACUGCUUUUAUAAGGGAAUAAAGUGAGUCUCGUGAGACUUUUUGCAUGUACCUUAUGAAUAAGGACCGGCUAAUUCCGUGCCAGCCGCCGCCGUAA